rnacentral:misc_RNA from 1 species
GAUGAAGAACGUAGCUAAAUGCGAUAAGUAAUGUGAAUUGCAGAAUUCAGUGAAUCAUCGAAUCUUUGAACGCACAUUGCGCCCGCCAGUAUUCUGGCGGGCAUGCCUGUUCGAGCGUCAUUUCAACCAUCAAGCCCCCGGCUUGUGUUGGGGACCUGCGGCUGCCGCAGGCCCUGAAAUGCAGUGGCGGGCUCGCUGUCACUCCGAGCGUAGUAGUUACAUCUCGCUCUGGGCGUGCUGCGGGUUCCGGCCGUUAAAAGCCUUAUUUACCCAAGGUUGACCUCGGAUCAGGUAGGAAGACCCGCUGAACUUAAGCAUAUCAAUAAGCGGAGGA